AGAGUACGAUAGAGGGAGGUAGAAUUCAUAGUGUAGCGGUGGAAUGCGUAGAUAUUAUGAAGAAUACCGGUGGCGAAGGCGGCCUCCUGGAUCUGUACUGACACUGAGGUGCGAAAGCGUGGGUAGCGAACAGGAUUAGAUACCCUGGUAGUCCACGCCGUAAACGAUGACAACUAGCUGUUGGGAGACAAUGUCUUUCAGUGGCGCAGCUAACGUUUUAAGUUGUCCGCCUGGGGAGUACGGCCGCAAGGCUAAAACUCAAAUGAAUUGACGGGGACCCGCACAAGCGGUGGAGCAUGUGGUUUAAUUCGAUGCAACGCGAAAAACCUUACCUACUCUUGACAUACUUGGAAGCUCUUGUAAUGAGAGUGUGCCUUUUGGAACCAAGAUACAGGUGCUGCAUGGCUGUCGUCAGCUCGUGUCGUGAGAUGUUCCGUUAAGUCGGAUAACGAGCGCAACCCUUACCCUUAUUUGCCAGCGAUUCGGUCGGGAACUAUAAGGGGACUGCCGGUGAUAAACCGGAGGAAGGUGAGGACGACGUCAAGUCAUCAUGGCCCUUACGAGUAGGGCUACACACGUGCUACAAUGGGGAAUACAGACGGACGCUAAGCCGCGAGGUGGUGCUAAUCCUAAAAAGUUCUUCGUAGUCCGGAUUGGAGUCUGCAACUCGACUCCAUGAAGUCGGAAUCGCUAGUAAUCGCGAAUCAGCAUGUCGCGGUGAAUACGUUCUCGGGUCUUGUACACACCGCCCGUCACACCAUGGAAGUGGAUUGCACCAGAAGUAGAUAGUCUAACCUUCGGGAGGGCGUUUACCACGG
rnacentral:rRNA from 1 species